rnacentral:rRNA from 1 species
CCUACGGGUGGCUGCAGUGGGGGAUAUUGCACAAUGGGGGGAACCCUGAUGCAGCGACGCCGCGUGGGUGAAGAAGCGCCUCGGCGCGUCAAGCCCUGUUAGCAGGGAAGAAAAUGACGGUACCUGAAGAAGACGCACCGGCUAACUACGUGCCAGCAGCCGCGGUAAUACGUAGGGGGCAAGGGUUAUCCGGAUUUACUGGGUGUAAAGGGGGCGCAGACGGCGGUGCAAGUCAGGAGUGAAAGCCUGGGGCCCAACCCCGGGACUGCUCUUGGAACUGCGGGGCUGGAGUGCAGGAGGGGCAGGCGGAAUUCCUGGUGUAGCGGUGAAAUGCGUAGAUAUCGGGAGGAACACCGGUGGCGAAGGCGGCCUGCUGGACUGCAACUGACGUUGAGGCCCGAAAGCGUGGGGAGCGAACAGGAUUAGAUACCCGUGUAGUC